rnacentral:lncRNA from 1 species
GGUAAACUCACAGAUUUCCCCUCAGUGCUUCUAAGAGAGGUUGUGUGUCCUGGGCAUGCAUCUGAUAUACUUUGUCUACCCUAGGCUUCCCAGAGUCUCCACCCCUUGUCCAGCAGGACCAUCAUUUCUUUCAGUGACCAUCUCCUCCCACUGCUGUGGUCUGGAAGCUUCUGUUGCAUCAUCCCGUGACUGUGAAGGAAGAAGUCCAGGGAUUGUUUCUUUAGGAGACAUCAGAGAAGAUGGGAGGUGUGUGGGAAAGCAAGUGUUGGAGACUGGACAAUGGUACGGAGGAAGGAGAAAAACCGUGACUGCAUGGUCUGAACUGUGAAGAUGCACAGAGUGAUACGUCUUGUGGCAAUGACUGACUUCUAGCUGGUGUACCUCAGGAGCUGCAAGGCCUUCUG